CGGGGGCCCGCACAAGCAGUGGAUUAUGUGUUUAAUUCGAAGCAACGCGAAGAACCUUACCAGGGUUUGACAUCCCGGUGACCGCCAUAGAGAUAUGGUUUUCCCUUCGGGGACACCGGUGACAGGUGGUGCAUGGUUGUCGUCAGCUCGUGUCGUGAGAUGUUGGGUUAAGUCCCGCAACGAGCGCAACCCUUAUUGUUAGUUGCUACGCAAGAGCACUCUAGCGAGACUGCCGUUGACAAAACGGAGGAAGGUGGGGACGACGUCAAAUCAUCAUGCCCCUUAUAUCCUGGGCUACACACGUAAUACAAUGGCACUUAACAAAGGGAAGCAAAGCCGCGAGGUGGAGCAAAUCCCCAAAAAGUGUCCCAGUUCGGACUGCAGUCUGCAACUCGACUGCACGAAGUCGGAAUUGCUAGUAAUCGCGGAUCAGCAUGCCGCGGUGAAUACGUUCCCGGGCCUUGUACACACCGCCCGUCACACCAUGAGAGUCGGGAACACCCGAAGUCCGUAGUCUAACCGCAAGGAGGACGCGGCCGAAGGUGGGCUUGAUAAUUGGGGUGAAGUCGUAACAAGGUAGCCGU
rnacentral:rRNA from 1 species